UUAGUUUAGUAGCAUUCACCAAUCACCGUCGUUCCAGUCUUAUUGUUUGUUUUCAUGCCACCUAUAUGUUACAACCAGCAAUGUACCGAAUUUGUGUGGAAGUGUUAGCGUAUAAUGGUAUGAUUUGAUUUAUCAAGAAAUAAAAUGUCUGUGGUAUUGGGGCACAAAGUCCAGACAUAUUGUGUUGGAUUUUCUCCUAUAUCAUAAAAACAUUGGAAAAUUUAUCGAGGCCAUAUGGGCGUUAAAGUAGUUUUUUUUUAUUUUUUUUAUUUUUUGGUUUUCAAGUUAAUUCCAUUCGUAAUUCACCUGCACAAAAAGUAGAAUCAUUUGAGAGAAAACGCUGGCAGCGUUAAGGAGUACAAAGCGCUUCGGUUCACUGACCCUACCAUCGCCUGGAGUCUCCAAUAUACUUGCAUGGCUGCUCAUCUCUAGAGUAGCUUGUGUCGUGUUUCACUUCCUUACUAGUUAGUUUCGUUCUAGACCGCGACCAUGCUGAGAUGACGAAUUUUAACCUAGUCCUUUACUUAUCGAAAAUGCAAGGCAGAUAAAAAUCCAGUGUUAAAAAAAAGUUUUGUUUUUGCGCGCAAGGAAGUUGCCAUGGAAUUAGUUCGCCAAGCAAACUACAUUUCCCGAUCGGUUAAGCGGAUUUUUGUCAUUUCAAUAACAUUUAUCCUCUUUGUAGGUUUUUAUCAGGCAACAUGGCCAACUCCUAAUUUUCCAUCAUUGACUCAGACAUUGAGUCUCAUCAAUAGUUCUACGAAAACGAUUUUAAUUUGGAACCCAUACUCACGUUUUGAGCUGGAGGUUUUCGGAGAAGGAGCCGAUACUUUCACUAGUCAUCAUUGCCCGAUAAAUAAUUGUUUCAUUACGAAAAACCGAACUUGGGCUCCCCUACACCAAUUUGACAGCAUAAUAUUUAAUAUGCCACCGCUCUCUCUUUACAAGUUUCCAGUAGACGAACACAGACGACCGGAACAGCGUUACAUUUUCUUUUCCCAAGAGCCACCAACCUACAUCGGUGAGGAAGUUAAACUUUUUAAUCGUCGAUUUAAUUGGACAAUGUCGUACGCAACUCACGCGGAUAUUCGCUAUCACUAUGGUGAAAUAAUCCCUUUACCAUCUGCCCCGGCUACACACCACACUCGUAAAGCAUAUAUACAAUCGACCAAGAAUGGUGAGAAUUUUGCGGCUGGCAAAACAAAAUUGGUUGCGUGGUUUGUUUCGCACUGCUUCACACAAAGUCGCCGAGAAAAAUACGUCACCAUUAUGCGCCAAUACAUCCCAGUGGAUAUCUAUGGCGGUUGCUAUUCGCUUCGUUGCCCAAUGAACGAAAGUGCAUUUUUGUCUACUGAGCCAUGUUACGACUUGCUUGAUAGCAGAUACAAGUUCUACCUCGCCUUUGAAAAUUCUUUCUGUAACGAUUAUGUAACUGAAAAGUUUUUCGACGUCCUACAACGUCGAAUCAUCCCAAUUGUAAUGGGAGGAGCGAAUUACUCAGCCAUCGCACCACCUCAUUCGUACAUUGACGCAUUACAGUAUAGUCCUCGAGAAUUAGCCGAAUACCUCAAGCUGUUGGCCUCUGACGACAAAUUAUACAACGAAUAUUUUUGGUGGAAACCUCAUUUUCAAGUAGUAAAGAGAUACCCUUUUCUGGCUGCAAAUGCCCUGUGUUCGUUAUGUGACAAAUUACAUCACAACAAAACUGAAUCCAUCUAUCACGACCUGGCAGCAGGAUGGAGCCAGAAAACCCAGUGUAAAAGCCCUCGUUUCAAAGGUGUUCGGAUUUUCUGGGGAAUCUUUUAAAAUUUAAUUUGCAACGUCACAUUUUGUUAAGUUCCAUAUUAUUUUUAACUGAUUUAAACAGUAUAAACGUUAAAUUCCGCGUCAGUUAAAUCUUCUUCGUGUUUCGUGGAUCCUCGGGCUAUAACUAUAUUUAAUGGGGUUGUUGACCGUGCCGCAAGUGUAAUAGUAAUGUGAUUUUCGCUAGCCUCCCAUUCGUUGAAAGAACUUCAUGAAGUUUAGACGCGUAGCGAUGUAAAGAUUCUGUAUAAUUCUCUUUUAUUCUCAUAGUUUUUAAAUGGUAAAAUGGAAAUUUGUAGCAGACCUCGGAAAAUUCAAAUUCCUUUGGUGACCCUGGUAGUGUUCUCCUUUUAUUUGGUAUCGAUGUGGCAUUUUGAAAAGAUUGGCUCAAAUCUGGUUUCCCGUACUGAUGUGGAAUCAAUGCAAGUUUUCCCUCCCGAUUCGCAAGCACUUUCUUAUCUCUCCCCUUGUCCUUGCUCGGGGAAUAAUACGUCAAUACGCCAAGAAAAAGUUGACUAUACAUGGUGCAAUGGGGAAGCUGUUCAACGAGGGCCAAACCAAAACAUUGUUUCUUUUUCUCUCUUUGGAAAUGCUGACAAGGACGGGAUGAGGUAUUUCUCGUUUGUUCGUGAAAACGCUAUUAAAAUCAAACAACUACUUCCAGGGUGGAUCAUGAGACUACAUCACAAUACAGAAGUAGUCUUUGGAGAAGGCUUUCUAAGCGAAAGAAAAAAAAUCCUGAUUUCCGACCAGUAACCGGAGAACAGGUUUCCAAUGUCAAUCGACGAAUUUGGAGAUUUCUACCGUUGUUGGACCCGCUUGUUGAUGUUGUACUUACCAGAGAUUUAGACGCUACAGUGUCUAAUCGAGAAGUAGCCGCAAUUCAGCAA
rnacentral:misc_RNA from 1 species